AACCUAGCACACCUGCGGUGUGUACCUGCGGAGGGAUCAUUAACAAAAAGUGAAUCAAUGGACAUUUUGGUGGAUCUUAUCGCCUGGGAAACGAUUAAGAUUCAUUUUCUGUUGAAGCACUAUAAUCCAUUUAGGCGUCGUAUGGAAACGUUCGGCGCACCUUCCCCUUUCUUGGAGUCUAAUAGAAAUAUUAGUACUCUGGGGAUGAACAUUGAUGUGUUUAUCGUAUUAUACAGGCUU
rnacentral:misc_RNA from 1 species